rnacentral:rRNA from 1 species
AUUGAACGCUGGCGGCAGGCCUAACACAUGCAAGUCGAGCGGAUGAAGGGAGCUUGCUCCUGGAUUCAGCGGCGGACGGGUGAGUAAUGCCUAGGAAUCUGCCUGGUAGUGGGGGAUAACGUCCGGAAACGGGCGCUAAUACCGCAUACGUCCUGAGGGAGAAAGUGGGGGAUCUUCGGACCUCACGCUAUCAGAUGAGCCUAGGUCGGAUUAGCUAGUUGGUGGGGUAAAGGCCUACCAAGGCGACGAUCCGUAACUGGUCUGACAGGAUGAUCAGUCACACUGGAACUGAGACACGGUCCAGACUCCUACGGGAGGGAGCAGUGGGGAAUAUUGGACAAUGGGCGAAAGCCUGAUCCAGCCAUGCGGCGUGUGUGAAGAAGGUCUUCGGAUUGUAAAGCACUUUAAGUUGGGAGGAAGGGCAGUAAGCUAAUACCUUGCUGUUUUGACGUUACCAACAGAAUAAGCACCGGCUAACUUCGUG